AUUGAACGCUGGCGGCAUGCCUUACACAUGCAAGUCGAACGGCAGCACGGGGGCAACCCUGGUGGCGAGUGGCGAACGGGUGAGUAACAUAUCGGAACGUGCCCUGGAGUGGGGGAUAACUAGUCGAAAGAUUAGCUAAUACCGCAUACGAUCUACGGAUGAAAGUGGGGGAUCGCAAGACCUCAUGCUCGUGGAGCGGCCGAUAUCUGAUUAGCAGUUGGUGGGGUAAAGGCCUACCAAGGCAUCGAUCAGUAGCUGGUCUGAGAGGACGACCAGCCACACUGGGACUGAGACACGGCCCAGACUCCUACGGGGGGCAGCAAUUAGGAAUCUUGCGCAAUGGGCGGAAGCCUGACGCAGCGACGUCGCGUGGGGGACGAAAUCUUUCGGGAUGUAAACCCCUUUUACCGGGGAAGAAGAAUGUGACGGUACCCGGUGAAUAAG
rnacentral:rRNA from 1 species